rnacentral:lncRNA from 1 species
UAAAAUAAGGAUUUCAGUGGCCCUGGAGCUAUGUGGAAGAUGCUGCCUGGCAGCCUCCCAGCAGAAGGUGCUUUAGAGGCAAUGUCAGAGUCUGCUUUGCAGUGCUUAUUUCUGGGGACAUGCAAGGAAGUAGGAACAACGUGGAGGGUUAGGUUGUAGCCUGGAUCAGUUCUGGGAGCAGGAUGAGAGGAAGCCAGAAAUGAUCAUAAACCUUGCAGUAUCCAGGUAUCAGAGCAGCAUGUUGAUGAAUGAGGCUUACUGCUCAGCUCUGCCUUUCUCAGGUUGGAUGUCUCUUCUGUUGUAUUGCUUCUGUAGCUCAAGCACCAUCGUGCAGUUCCAAUACCUUUGACUGGGGUCGGAUCUGCUUGUUUUGUACUUGAAGAUUGGCUAUUUGUUUACAAAGCACUUCCUGCUCCAAGAAACGUCGUGCAUUGCACUGCUGCCAUCACUGCAGAUAUUCAGGAAAAGGACGGAGGGGGCAUUCUGGCAAAGGGUGUGAAAGACACCAUCAAAUGGAAGAGAUUGUUUUUUCUUUAUUUUCCACUGAGACCUAGCUGUGUUGUUUGAAGACCUUACUGUCCUAUGGAAUAAAUGCAGUCUCUGGCAUUAUCCCACUGAUGUGAUUU